GGCGCACGGGUGCGUAACGCGUAUACAAUCUACCUUUUGCUAAGGGAUAGCCCAGAGAAAUUUGGAUUAAUACCUUAUAGUAUGCAGACUUCUCAUGGAGAUUGCAUUAAAGAUUACGGCAAAAGAUGAGUAUGCGUCCUAUUAGUUUGUUGGUGUGGUAACGGCACACCAAGACUACGAUAGGUAGGGGCCCUGAGAGGGGGAUCCCCCACACUGGUACUGAGACACGGACCAGACUCCUACGGGAGGCAGCAGUGAGGAAUAUUGGACAAUGGAGGCAACUCUGAUCCAGCCAUGCCGCGUGCAGGAAGACUGCCCUAUGGGUUGUAAACUGCUUUUAUACAGGAAGAAACACUCCCUCGUGAGGGAGCUUGACGGUACUGUAAGAAUAAGGAUCGGCUAACUCCGUGCCAGCAGCCGCGGUAAUACGGAGGAUCCAAGCGUUAUCCGGAAUCAUUGGGUUUAAAGGGUCCGUAGGUGGAUAAUUAAGUCAGAGGUGAAAGUUUGCAGCUCAACUGUAAAAUUGCCUUUGAUACUGGUUAUCUUGAGUUAUUGUGAAGUAGUUAGAAUAUGUAGUGUAGCGGUGAAAUGCAUAGAUAUUACAUAGAAUACCAAUUGCGAAGGCAGAUUACUAACAAUAUACUGACACUGAUGGACGAAAGCGUGGGUAGCGAACAGGAUUAGAUACCCUGGUAGUCCACGCCGUAAACGAUGGAUACUAGCUGUUGGGCUUCGGCUCAGUGGCUAAGCGAAAGU
rnacentral:rRNA from 1 species